rnacentral:rRNA from 1 species
AUUGAACGCUGGCGGCAUGCUUUACACAUGCAAGUCGAACGGUAACAGCACUUCGGUGGCUGACGAGUGGCGAACGGGUGAGUAAUACAUCGGAACGUGCCUAGUAGUGGGGGAUAACUACUCGAAAGAGUAGCUAAUACCGCAUGAGAUCUAAGGAUGAAAGCAGGGGACCUUCGGGCCUUGCGCUACUAGAGCGGCUGAUGGCAGAUUAGGUAGUUGGUGGGAUAAAAGCUUACCAAGCCGACGAUCUGUAGCUGGUCUGAGAGGACGACCAGCCACACUGGGACUGAGACACGGCCCAGACUCCUACGGGAGGCAGCAGUGGGGAAUUUUGGACAAUGGGCGCAAGCCUGAUCCAGUAAUGCCGCGUGCAGGAUGAAGGCCUUCGGGUUGUAAACUGCUUUUGUACGGAACGAAAAGCCCUCUUCUAAUACAGGAGGGUCAUGACGGUACCGUAAGAAUAAGCACCGGCUAACUACGUG